CGAAGCUGGAUUCGCUAGUAAUCGCGCAUCAGCCAUGGCGCGGUGAAUACGUUCCCGGGCCUUGUACACACCGCCCGUCACACCAUGGGAGUCGGAAAUGCCCGAAGUCUGUGACCUAACCGUAAGGGAGGAGCAGCCGAAGGCAGGUCGGAUGACUGGGGUGAAGUCGUAACAAGGUAAC
rnacentral:rRNA from 1 species